rnacentral:tRNA from 1 species
GGGGGCAUAGCUCAGUUGGUAGAGCGUCUCGUUCGCAAUGAGAAGGUCAGGGGUUCGAAUCCCCUUGCCUCCACCA